UGGGCGAAAGCCUGAUGCAGCAACGCCGCGUGAGUGAAGAAGGCCUUCGGGUUGUAAAGCUCUGUCUUUUGGGACGAUAAUGACGGUACCAAAGGAGGAAGCCACGGCUAACUACGUGCCAGCAGCCGCGGUAAUACGUAGGUGGCAAGCGUUGUCCGGAUUUACUGGGCGUAAAGGAUGCGUAGGUGGAUAUUUAAGUGGGAUGUGAAAUACCCGGGCUCAACUUGGGUGCUGCAUUCCAAACUGGAUAUCUAGAGUGCAGGAGAGGAAAGUGGAAUUCCUAGUGUAGCAGUGAAAUGCGUAGAUAUUAGGAGGAACACCAGUGGCGAAGGCGGCUUUCUGGACUGUAACUGACACUGAGGCAUGAAAGCGUGGGGAGCAAACAGGAUUAGAUACCCUGGUAGUCCACGCCGUAAACGAUGGGUACUAGGUGUGGGAGUUGUCAUGACUUCCGUGCCGUCGUUAACACAGUAAGUACCCCGCCUGGGGAGU
rnacentral:rRNA from 1 species